UAACGGCGAGUGAAGCGGUAACAGCUCAAAUUUGAAAGCUAGCUCUUUUAGGGUUCGCAUUGUAAUUUGUAGAAGAUGCUUCGGGUGUGGCCCCGGUCUAAGUUCCUUGGAACAGGACGUCAUAGAGGGUGAGAAUCCCGUAUGUGACUGGGUGCUUUCGCUCAUGUGAAGCUCUUUCGACGAGUCGAGUUGUUUGGGAAUGCAGCUCAAAAUGGGUGGUAAAUUUCAUCUAAAGCUAAAUAUUGGCCAGAGACCGAUAGCGCACAAGUAGAGUGAUCGAAAGAUGAAAAGCACUUUGGAAAGAGAGUUAAACAGUACGUGAAAUUGUUGAAAGGGAAGCGCUUGCAACCAGACUUGCGCGCUGAUGAUCAUCCGGGCUUCUGCCCGGUGCACUCGUCUGCGCUCAGGCCAGCAUCGGUUUCGGUGGUGGGAUAAAGGCCUUGGGAAUGUAGCUUCUUUCGGGGAGUGUUAUAGCCCUCGGUGCAAUGCCGCCUACCGGGACCGAGGACCGCGCUUCGGCUAGGAUGCUGGCGUAAUGGUUGUAAGCGACCCGUCUUGAAACACGGACCAAGGAGUCUAACAUCUAUGCGAGUGUUUGGGUGUCAAACCCAUACGCGUAAUGAAAGUGAACGGAGGUGAGAACCCUUAAGGGUGCAUCAUCGACCGAUCCUGAUGUCUUCGGAUGGAUUUGAGUAAGAGCAUAGCUGUUGGGACCCGAAAGAUGGUGAACUAUGCGUGAAUAGGGUGAAGCCAGAGGAAACUCUGGUGGAGGCUCGCAGCGGUUCUGACGUGCAAAUCGAUCGUCAAAUUUGCGUAUAGGG
rnacentral:rRNA from 1 species